UGGAGACUAGGUAUGCCGGGAUGAGUACUAAAGAAAAGCUCUAGUUUGGCUUAGGAAUAAGAAGAUCAGCAUUUCCUUUCAUGUAGAGAAGGUUUCUAAGGCCUACUUUCUGAUAUCUUCUUACAUAAUAUGGGAUAAUUGCAUCUUUUUAAAAAUAGACCUAAUGCCCUUUGCCUGGGGCUAAAAAGAAAGCCUUUUUGGAGGUGAAUUAGUUCUACUUUUCAAAUCUAUUUCGUAUAAGCUAAGAAUCUUUGGGAGAAGACAAGCUGGCCUUCACGUACUUUUUUCUUUUCCUGGUUUUUGGAUGGAUGACCCAUCAAAACUUGCCAAAAAUAUAAUUGAAAUAUGCAUUUUCAUCUGAUGGAGGAGUCUAUAAAUUGUUGAGUAAUCUUUUAGAGUUUUUCAAAUCUGGCAGUCUGCUACAUGCACCAAGAGAGAACAUUCAUGAAGAAAAUGUAUUCUUCACUAGUUACUCAAUGUGAACAUAGAGGCUUCUUCACCCAGCCAAGAACUCAGCUAUAUCCUGCAUACAAGUAAUAGCCAUUAGUAUGUAGAACAACACUGAUUUUUAUCAAAAAUGAAGUGAAACAUGUCAUGUUUAUGUUUGUGGAGGCAGUGCCUCCACAACUGACUAUAUGAGGCCAGUGAAGAUAGUUCUCUGAGAUGAGGCCAAAGCUUAGGGUAGGCAGCCAUAAGGAUGGUGGGAAGUGUUAAGAACCCUGCCACUGUUAAGACCAAAUAGGAGUCUGGAUACGUUGAAGAACCCUGCAGGAUGUUUGCAACAUAUGGGAAGAAGGAGCUGUCCAAGCAAGGUGGUACCCUGUCAUAGCCAAGUCUGAAUGAGUGGUCCCAUCUGACCCAAGCCACAGCUUCAGAAGCACAGCCCUGGAGGAGUAAGGACGAUGAGGAAACAGAUGCCUAGCCAUCCAUAUUGACGAAAACCUGUGCUGGCAACCCACGGAGUGCCACAUAUCAAAGACAGGUCUUGAUCACAUCUUCAUUGCCAAGAAAAGAGAAAAUUAUCUUAAAAUUAUUUUGUACAUUGAAAAACAAUACCUUUGACAACCAGAUGUUUGAUGAAUACAUUUUGAUGUUACAGCCAAGAGGU